rnacentral:lncRNA from 1 species
AGUCACAGACAAGUUCACUGAGAGUGUCUAUGUCCUUGCCAAUGAGCCAUCAGUGGCCCUGUACCGGCUACAGGAACACGUGCGACGCUCACUGCCAGAGCUGGCCCAGCACAAGGCUGAUAUGCAGCGGUGGGAGGAGCAGAGCCAGGGCGCCAUAUACACCGUGGAAUAUGCCUGCAGUGCUGUGAAGAGCUUGGUGGACAGCAGUGUGUACUUCCGAAGUGUGGAAGGCCUGCUCAAACAGGCCAUCAGUAUCCGGGACCACAUGAGCACCAGCGCCCAGGGCCACAGGUAGCCCUGGCCACCUGCCCUAUCCCACCCUAAACAGUGAGCUGUCCUGGUGGUCUUUGGCAUCUGUGGCACCCAUAUCCUGUAACCCAGCUGGCGUGAGGAAGGCAGUGGUGCUGGGCUCACAGGGACAGUGACAGAGAGACACAGACCAGAGGGAGUGUGGUGAAGAGAAGCCCCCUGGCAUCCCCAGCAUCAUGACCAGAGCAAGGGCCCUGAGAUUGGCACUCUAGGCCCUUAGAAGGAGCAAGAGGAGUUGGUUGGGAGGUGAGGUUGGUGGGAGCUGGGCCUCUCCGUCCUGCACCCCUGUGGUUUCUCCAGCUGAGAGACUUUCGGCUGAGGUCGGAUGCACUGGAAAGCACCUGCUGUCCUCGGCCUCUUUCGUGUUGGCGGUAACUUAAUAAACACAUAGCUGGCCUGCACCAGCCUCAGCCAGCCUUUGACCCGUCUGUCACUGGAAUGAGAAAAGCAGCAGCAUAAAGUGCUACAGACUCCUCCUCA